AUGGAAGAUUUUUUCAGAUUUGUGCCAGCUGUGUGGAGAUCUUUUUGGAGGCUGGUUGCUUACGAUUGUGGACUUCUAGAAGAUCCCAAGUCAGCUUGCAUGAAGGAGAUAAUUCAGGACAGAAGUUAAGGAGAUAAUUAGGAUUAUUUUUUUCAUUGCGGUAAAGCCU